AGGUGAAAGGCCUGAGACGCAGAGGAAACCACUUCCGUUACACUGGAAAUUGUCCCAAGCAGCGGUAGGUAUGAAAGGGCAAACCUAGAGGAGUUGUCAUCAGAUCACGUAGGACUUUAAUCGUUGAACAAACGAACCUUUAAUAGCGGUUGCACCAUUUGGGUGUCCUGAUCCAACAUCGAGGUCGUAAACCCUAUUGUCGAUAGGAACUCUAGAAUAGGAUUGCGCUGUUAUCCCUAGGGUAACUUGUUCCGUUGAUCAAAAUUUUGGAUCAAUAAGUGAUUAUGCUACCUUUGCACGGUCAGAAUACCGCGGCCGUUAAACUGGUGUCACUGGGCAGGCAUUGCCUCUAAUACUAGUAAUGCUAGAGGUGAUGUUUUUGGUAAACAGGCGGGGUUUGUGUUUGCCGAGUUCCUUUUACUUCUUUUAAUCUUUCCUUGGAGGAGAAAGGCUUCUUGUUACUCAUAUUAACAUUGGAAUUUAGGGUUUUUGGGGUAUUUUUAAGGUUGAACUAAAAUUCUUUCUCGGACAACCAGCUAUCACCAGGCUCGUUAGGCUUUUCACCUCUACCUACAAGUCUUCUCACUAUUUUGCCACAUAGAUGAGUUGGUUCUUUUAAACUGCUCAUAGGUAGCUCGUCUGGUUUCGGGGUAUCUAGCUAAAGUUCUCUUUGUUAGAUUUUUUCUGGUUAAACCACCCCCAAUCGAUCCCUACCCCCCUCUACGUUUCCUCUUUGGUAAAUGUAAGUUUGGUUUGGAAAUCUUUGAGUCUUUGUACGUUUUACUGUAUUAUCUCUAUUACGUUGAAU
rnacentral:lncRNA from 1 species